ACACUUUACAAUGCGGGAAACCGCGAUAAGGGAACCCCGAGUGCCAGCAUCAAAUGUUGGCUGUCCAGAUGAUUAAAAAUCAUUUGUUAGCAAGGGCCGGGCAAGACCGGUGCCAGCCGCCGCGGUAACACCGGCGGCCCGAGUGGUAGCCGUUUUUAUUGGGUCUAAAGGGUCCGUAGCCGGCCUGAUAAGUCCUUUGGGAAAUCUGGCAGCUUAACUGUCAGGCUUCUAAGGGAUACUGUCAGGCUUGGGACCGGAAGAGGUAAGGGGUACUCCAGGGGUAGGAGUGAAAUCUUGUAAUCCCUGGGGGACCAUCUGUGGCGAAGGCGCCUUACCAGAACGGGUCCGACGGUGAGGGACGAAAGCUAGGGGAGCCKAAACCGGAUUAGAUACCCGGGUAGUCCUAGCUGUAAACGAUGCUCGCUAGGUGUCAGACACGGUGCGACCGUGUUUGGUGCCGCAGGGAAGCCGUUAAGCGAGCCACCUGGAAGUACGUCGCAAGGC
rnacentral:rRNA from 1 species